rnacentral:lncRNA from 10 species
CUGCCCGAGCCCCACCCCCCACCCCCUCCUGGUGGGCUUCCGCUUGGCCCGAGCUUCCUCGACGGGGGCUGCCCCCUGCUGGGCAGCGCCCAGUCCCAUGACCGCCCAAGGGUUGAGGAGUGCAGGCGCCUGACGCGGCCCUGGCACAGAAUCCACUAGGUGAAGCCAGCUAGGCUCCUGAGGCGGGUGGGGACUUGGAGAACUUUUAUGUCUAGCUAUAGGAUUGUAAGUACACCAAUCAGCAUUCUGUGUCUAGCCCAAGGUUUGUAAACACACCAAUCAGUACCCUGUGUCUAGCUCAAGGUUUGUAAAUGCACCAGUCAGUGCUCUGUGUGUAGCUAAUCUAGUGGGGACUUGGAGAACUUUUGUGUCUAGCUAAAGGUUUGUAAACGUGCCAGUCAGCACCCUGUCAAAACAGACCAAUCAGUUCUCUGUAAAACGGACCAAUCAGCUUGCUGUAAAAUGGACCAAUCAGCAGGAUGUGGGUGGGGCCAGAUAAGGGAAUAAAAGCAGGCUGCCCGAAUCAGCAGGGGCAACUUGCUGGGGUUCUCUUCUGAGCUGUGGAAGCUUUGUUGUUUUGCUCUUUACAAUAAAUGUUCAUUCUUUGGGUCCGCAUUGCCUUUAUGAGCUGUAACACUCACUGUGAAGGUCUACUGAUGCCACCGAGACCAUGAACCCACCAGGAGGAAUGGAACGAAUAACUCCUGACGGGAGGAAGGAUCAACUCCAGAGGCGCCGCCUUAAGAGCUGUAACACACGGUGAAGGUCUGCACCUUCACUCCUGAAGCCAGAGAGACCAUGAACCCACCAGAAGGAGGAAACUCCAAACAUGUCCAAACAUCAGAAGGAACAAACUCCAGACACACCACCUUUAAGAAUUGUAACACUCACUGCGAGGGUCGGUGGCUUCAUUCUUUAAGUUCGUGAGACCAAGAACCCACCAAUUCCGGACACACUGCCACCCCCCGUCACCUUCAGCGUGAAGCGGGAUGAGCCCUAGAUACAUAGCACCUUUCUCACCCGGACUGGAGACCUGUCCCCAGGGUAGGGGGUAGAUUCCUGGGUGCCACCAGGCAGGGUCUGGUUCAAAUGAGAAGAUGAUUGGCAGUUUCAGGAUGUUGUUGAUGGUGAUGAUGGAGAAAAUGAC